UGGGGAAUAUUGCACAAUGGGCGCAAGCCUGAUGCAGCCAUGCCGCGUGUGUGAAGAAGGCCUUCGGGUUGUAAAGCACUUUCAGCGGGGAGGAAGGCGUUAAGGUUAAUAACCUUGGCGAUUGACGUUACCCGCAGAAGAAGCACCGGCUAACUCCGUGCCAGCAGCCGCGGUAAUACGGAGGGUGCAAGCGUUAAUCGGAAUUACUGGGCGUAAAGCGCACGCAGGCGGUCUGUCAAGUCGGAUGUGAAAUCCCCGGGCUUAACCUGGGAACUGCAUUCGAAACUGGCAGGCUAGAGUCUUGUAGAGGGGGGUAGAAUUCCAGGUGUAGCGAUGAAAUGCGUAGAGAUCUGGAGGAAUACCGGUGGCGAAGGCGGCCCCCUGGACAAAGACUGACGCUCAGGUGCGAAAGCGUGGGGAGCAAACAGG
rnacentral:rRNA from 1 species